rnacentral:rRNA from 1 species
ACAUGCAGCCGAGCGGUAGAGAUUCUUCGGAAUCUUGAGAGCGGCGUACGGGUGCGGAACACGUGUGCAACCUGCCUUUAUCUGGGGGAUAGCCUUUCGAAAGGAAGAUUAAUACCCUAUAAUAUAUUGACUGGCAUCAGUUACUAUUGAAAACUCCGGUGGAUAGAGAUGGGCACGCGCAAGAUUAGAUAGUUGGUGAGGUAACGGCUCACCAAGUCUACGAUCUUUAGGGGGCCUGAGAGGGUGAUCCCCCACACUGGUACUGAGACACGGACCAGACUCCUACGGGAGGCAGCAGUGAGGAAUAUUGGACAAUGGGUGAGAGCCUGAUCCAGCCAUCCCGCGUGAAGGACGACGGCCCUAUGGGUUGUAAACUUCUUUUGUAUAGGGAUAAACCUACUCUCGUGAGAGUAGCUGAAGGUACUAUACGAAUAAGCACCGGCUAACUCCGUGCCAGCAGCCGCGGUAAUACGGAGGGUGCAAGCGUUAUCCGGAUUUAUUGGGUUUAAAGGGUCCGUAGGCGGAUCUGUAAGUCAGUGGUGAAAUCUCACAGCUUAACUGUGAAACUGCCAUUGAUACUGCAGGUCUUGAGUGUUGUUGAAGUAGCUGGAAUAAGUAGUGUAGCGGUGAAAUGCAUAGAUAUUACUUAGAACACCAAUUGCGAAGGCAGGUUACUAAGCAACAACUGACGCUGAUGGACGAAAGCGUGGGGAGCGAACAGGAUUAGAUACCCUGGUAGUCCACGCCGUAAACGAUGCUAACUCGUUUUUGGGUCUUUAAGAUUCAGAGACUAAGCGAAAGUGAUAAGUUAGCCACCUGGGGAGUACGUUCGCAAGAAUGAAACUCAAAGGAAUUGACGGGGGCCCGCACAAGCGGUGGAUUAUGUGGUUUAAUUCGAUGAUACGCGAGGAACCUUACCAAGGCUUAAAUGGGAAAUGACAGGUUUAGAAAUAGACUUUUCUUCGGACAUUUUUCAAGGUGCUGCAUGGUUGUCGUCAGCUCGUGCCGUGAGGUGUUAGGUUAAGUCCUGCAACGAGCGCAACCCCUGUCACUAGUUGCCAUCAUUAAGUUGGGGACUCUAGUGAGACUGCCUACGCAAGUAAAGAGGAAGGUGGGGAUGACGUCAAAUCAUCACGGCCCUUACGCCUUGGGCCACACACGUAAUACAAUGGGCCAGUACAGAGGGC